rnacentral:tRNA from 1 species
GCGGGCAUAGCUGAGGGGUAGAUCAUUUGGCUGCAGACCAAGUGGUCCCUGGUUCAAAUCUGGGUGCCCUCU